CAAAUUGAUGCAUCUGAUAGCCAGAACCCUUUUUUACUAACUGACCAAGUAGGUGACGAAGCAAAUGGAAGCCUGGCUUCUACUAUACCAGUCCAGGAUGCAUCGACAAUCAGUUAUUUUCAUCAGCCGCAUAUAGCCUCUGUACCUUUUACCCAUCUCCACAAUGAUCAAGAUGUGUAUAGGUCAUUCUUCAACUCAUCCACAUUUCCAAGUCUUAUUGUUUCUACCUUGCUACAAAAUCAAUGUACCUCAUACAACCUCUGUACCUCAGCAUGCCUCUUCUAAAUCAAUGUCAUCGUCUUCUUCUGGCUCUGAUGAUUGUGAUGGAAGAGAUGAGGUUUCUAAGGAACUUAAAGACACUGGAUCCAGCAAGAUAAAGACAUUAGCAGCUCACAGAUCUUCUGAUUUAGAUAAGGCUAUGAAUCAGAAGAAAGUGGAUCGCUCUUCUUGUGGAUCCAAUACGGCAUCAAGUAGUGAAGUAGAAACAUACACCAUGGAGAAGAAACAUGAAAAAGUGAAUGAUGAGGGGAAAAAAGACUACGACAAUUUUUCAAAAUGUGGGUUCAACAAUUACAGGCUCAGAAGUAGCGGAAGUUUAAAUGAAUCCUUGAAGGUCUCUUCAGAGGUUGUAAUAUGAUAAUUUCUUGUUAACCCCCAUUAAUGCAGAAAAUACCAACCAAAGUCUUGAUGAGGCUUGGAAGGAGCUUCAAGAGUACUUGAUUCAAACUGAAGAGAGUGGGCUACUAAGAAAAAGAAUUGCUAAUUUUGUAAUCAGGUUGUUGAAGUACCAAAUGU